rfam:Candidate division WS6 bacterium 34_10 MPI_scaffold_7813, whole genome shotgun sequence.
GCUGAUGUAGCUCAGAUGGCUAGAGCAUUCCCUUCGUAAGGGACAGGUCGAUGGUUCGAUUCCAUCCAUCAGCU